UACGUAGGGGGCUAGCGUUGUCCGGAAUCAUUGGGCGUAAAGAGCGCGUAGGCGGCCCGGUAAGUCCGCUGUAAAAGUCCAGGGCUCAACCCUGGAAAGCCGGUGGAUACUGUCGGGCUCGAGUCCGGAAGAGGCGAGUGGAAUUCCUGGUGUAGCGGUGGAAUGCGCAGAUAUCAGGAGGAACACCAAUGGCGAAGGCAGCUCGCUGGGACGGUACUGACGCUGAUGCGCGAAAGCGUGGGGAGCAAACAGG
rnacentral:rRNA from 1 species